UUUAGUGUGAUUUUUAUUUUCAAAGAUCUCAUUCAAAAGAAACUUUUUAUUUAUUCUGAGGGACUUUUAGCCCUCGGUAAUAAUUUAGUCUUUCAUUCUGCGUUUAAAUUUUUCAAAAGUAUUACUUUUUUCAGUAUAGGGCUUUUCAUUCACAGUCAUUUGUUUCGAGCUUCUGUCAUGUGUCACAUAAUAUUAAUAUAUUUACGUCAUACGUUAUUGGUAUAUAACAAUGAUACAAACUAGAGACGUAUGACGUAGAUAUAUUAAUAUUAUGUGACACAUGACAGAAGCUCAAAACAAAUGGCAAUCGAUGAAAAGCCCUAUAGGGCUUUUCAUUCACAGUCAUUUGUUUCGAGCUUCUGUCGUGUGUUACAUAAUAAUAGGUCUGUUCCUUUGUUUUUUAGUGUUACACUUUUGAGUGUAAGUGUACGAAAUUCUAUGGACAUUUGAGUGUAAAAUGACAGCGGAUGUGACAGCGGCUCAUGACAGCGGACAGUAUUAAACGAAAAUUAUCGGUGUGCCAAUCAAGCAAAGGGACAAGGAACUUCCGAAUAUGGCCUAACUGGGGGCACAUAACAUAACAUAACCUAAUCCUAAUAUUUACAUUUGUAAAGAAUAUCCUGUUUGUUUUUAUUGUCGAUUGUGCAGCGAAAUUGUGUGCAGCAAAUCAAAUAUAAAGUAGUUUAUCGCCUACAGAACUGAAUUAGUCCAUAGCAGUUAUCAGUUUUUCUUUCUUGGGAAGCUUAUACAUGUAACUUGUAUUGUUGUAAAUUGUGGGAGUAGGGCAGACAGGGAAAAGUCUUAUUUUGUACUGUUCCCAAGGCUCCCCAUGCAAUACAUUUAAAUGAAUUAUCCAAACAAAGCUGGGGACAAUGGAUAAAAGCCACAAGAAGAACAGAUAUAAGGGAACUAAAAUUAAAAUAUGAAAAGUAAACAUUUUAUAAGUGGAACAACCACCAGAUAUUUAAAAGGUAUAAAAAGAAGAAACUGCUGGAAUUUCAAAACAAAUGUGUUUGACUAGUAAAGAUUUGGAUAAAUAACAGGAGUUACUUUGGGCUAUAGCUAAGUGCAGAUUUAUUUCCUUGUGGCUUCCUAUGUUAAUUCUUAUUAAUUAUACACUUAAAUAUGUUUUUAGUCUCAGGAAGAUUUUAUAUUUGAUUAUUUUUGAAUAAACAUUAUUAUUAUUAUUACCUUAAUUUCCAUUAAAUAAAUUAACUGUAAUCAAUAAAGUAAUCGUUUAAUUGUUAAUAAAUUAUCAAGUAUGA